rnacentral:misc_RNA from 1 species
AAUAAAUAUGAAUAAUUUUCUGUGUUCUUAUUAUGAACUCUGCUAAAUGCAUUCCUUCUUUUCUGCUGCAUAUGUAGUUAAAACCACACUGGCUUACAGUUAAGAAGUAAAAAGAAAGCAUUUUGCUAAGAUGAUUGCUUUUUGACCAGAGGAAGAGUAAUUACAAAUAAGAAAUUGUAUAUGUGCUAAAAAAAGGAAGAAAGAUGUGUGCAAUUUUGCAGGCUAUUGCCAGGAUGAAUUAGGAUCUUGAUUGACACUGUAACUUGAUUGAAGAUAUAAGAUGUUGUUGUUGUUGAUAGUUGUCAUUAUCAUAUUGUUUUCUUGAGUCAAUACACAUGCUGCCAACUUGUUUUCGUUCUUUAUCCUGUUUUGAUUGUUCAAAUCAAUAAAUCUAUUCUGAUAUCACAACCCAAUGUGUGUCAGUGUGGCAGCUAAAUUGUGCCCUCACCAACUUUCAUAUAUGCCUAAGUUUACUUACCGGGAUCAAAGUUAUUUUGGAAAGAUGCCAUUAAUUUAGGUACCGUUUGGUU